GUCUGCAUGGAGUUAAAUGGAGUCUAUUCUGCCAAUUGAGAAAAAAUUAUCUUAAAAGGCCGCGGUAUACUAACUGUGCAAAGGUAGCAUAAUCAGUAGUUUUUUAAUUGAAGGCUUGUAUGAAUGAUUGGACAAAGAUAAAACUGUCUUUUUCAAAAAGUAAUGAAUUUUAUUUUUAAGUGAGAAAGCUUAAAUAAAUCAGGGGGACGAUAAGACCCUAUAAAUCUUUAUAUUAAUAUUUUAUAAAUGAAGUUAUUUAAGUAAAAAAAGUUUAUAAAAGAAAAUAUUUGGCUGGGGUGGCAGUGAUAUAUAAGAAACUAUUAAUCAAUAGAUAACAAAUAUAUUUGAUAUUAAAAGAUCCUAAUUAUAGAUUAAGAAUAUAAGUUACUUUAGGGAUAACAGCAUAAUUUCUUUGGAGAGUUCUAAUCGAAAAAGAAGUUUGUGACCUCGAUGUUGAAUUAAAAGAUCUCUGAGGUGCAGGAGUUUCAGAGGAGAGUCUGUUCGACUUUUAAAAUUUUACAUGAUUUGAGUUCAGACCGGCGUGAG
rnacentral:rRNA from 1 species